rnacentral:rRNA from 1 species
GACAGAGGCCUCGAGCGUUAGGCGGAAUCACUGGGCUUAAAGCGUGUGUAGGCGGAUCGUUAAGUGCCUUGUGAAAUCCCACGGCUUAACUGUGGAACGGCUGGGCAUACUGGCGGUCUUGAGCCAUCUAGGGGCGACUGGAACAAACGGUGGAGCGGUGAAAUGCGUAGAUAUCGUUUGGAACGCCAAUGGUGAAAACAGCUCGCUGGGGACGUACCGACGCUGAGACACGAAAGCCAGGGGAGCGAACGGG